rnacentral:rRNA from 1 species
UAGGGAACCUUCCACAAUGGACGAAAGUCUGAUGGAGCAACGCCGCGUGAGUGAAGAAGGGUUUCGGCUCGUAAAACUCUGUUGUUAAAGAAGAACAUAUCUGAGAGUAACUGUUCAGGUAUUGACGGUAUUUAACCAGAAAGCCACGGCUAACUACGUGCCCG